CUGGAGGGAAUCCAGUCUCGAGGGCGUC
rnacentral:sRNA from 1 species